GGUUCGAUUCUCAGCUCAGAUUGAGCGCUGGCGGAUGCUUUUUGCACACAUGCAAGUCGAACGGCGGCACGGACUUCGGUCUGGUGGCGAGUGGCGAACAGGUGAGUAAUGUAUCGGAACGUGCUAAUGGCGGGGAUAACUGCAUGACGUAACUAAAGCCUGCGCAUACGCCCUUCGAGGGAAAGCGGGGACCUUCGGGCCUCGCACUAUGAAACGGCCGAUAUCCAGGUUAUUUAGUUCUUGGUGGGAAGUAACGGCUCACCAAGGCGACGAUCCGUAGCUGGUUUGAGAGGACGACCAGCCACACUGGGACUGAGACACGGCCCAGACUCCUACGGGAGGCAGCAGUGGGAAUUUUGGACAAUGGGGAAACCCUGAUCCAGCCAUCCCGCGUGUGCGAUGAAGGCCUUCGGGUUGUAAAGCUUGCUUUUGGCGGAAAAAGAAGCGGCACGGGAUAAUACCCGGCCGCAACUGUUGGGCUACCUGCAGAAUAAACACCAGUAACUCCGUGCCCAGCAGCGCGGUAGCCGUAGGGUGCAAGCGGUAAUCGGAAUUACUGGGCGUAAAGCGUGCGCAGGCGGUUCGGAAAGAAAGAUGUGAAAUCCCAGAGCUUAACUUUGGAACUGCAUUUUAACUACCGAGCUAGAGUGCGUCAGAGGAGGUGGAAUUCCGCGUGUAGCAGUGAAAUGCGUAGAUAUGCGGAGAACUUUGAUAGCGAAGGCAGCCUCCUGGAAUAACUACUGACGCUCGUGCGAAAGCGUAAGGGCAAACAGAGAUUAGAUACCUGACUGAUCCACGCCUAAACGAUGUCAACAAGCUGUUGGGGCCUUCGGGCCUUGGUAGCGCAGCUAACGCGUGAAGUUGACCGCCUGGGGAGUACGGUCGCAAGAUUAAAACUCAAAGGAAUUGACGGGGACCCGCACAAGCGGUGGAUGUGGAUUAAUUCGAUGCAACAUGAAAAACCUACCUACCCUUGACAUGUCUCGGAAUCCCGAAGAGAUUUGCAGGAGUGCUCGCAAGAGAACCGGAACUGGUGCUGCACUGGCUGUCGUCAGCUCGUGUCGUGAGAUGUUGGGUUAAGUCCCGCAACGAGCGCAACCCUUGUCAUUAAGAUUGCUGAAAGGGCACUCUAAUGAGACUGCCGGUGACAAACCGGAGGAAGGUGGGGAUGACGUCAAGUCCUCUGUGACCCUUAUGGGUAGGGCUUCACACGUCAUACAAUGGAGUCAUAGACGAAGGGGUCGCCAACCCGCGAGGAGCAAUCGAAACCCGAUCGUGAUCCGGAUCACAGUCUGCAACUCGACUGCGUGAAAUUAGGAAUCGCCAGUAAUCGCGGAUCAGCAUGUCGCGGUGAAUACGUUCGGGUCUUGUACACACCGCCCGUCACACCAUGGGAGUGGGUUUUACCAAGAAGUAGUUAGCCUAACCGUAAGGAGGAGGGCGAUUACCACGGUAGGAUUCAUGACUGGGGUGAAGUCGUAACAAGGUAA
rnacentral:rRNA from 1 species